GCAUAUAUUUUGAGUGGUCUAUUCAUUAUUUCUCCUCUUGAACUUCUUUGAUUAUGAUAAAGUAUUUUCAGUAUAGUAUUGUCCACUGUUUUGUCUUGUAAAUUUUGGGCACUCAUUUUUCACGAUUUGAUUUGCUUUGUUGCCUUUGAAAGUCCCGUUCUAUUGGAUUGUUCUGCAGAUAUAGGUUAUGUAGUUAUAUUUUUUUUGUUCUUAAUCAAGGUUGUAGCACCGGUUACAUUCAAAGUUUUACUUUUAAAUUUAUGUUUACAUUUACACUAAAUUAUACUUUUUUUUUUAAUUUUUUUUUAUUGUGGUAGUGGUUAUAUUUAAAACAUUGUUCUUUUAAUUUUAAAAAUGUGUAUUUGUCAAAAAAAUUCAUGUUCUUCAGUUAAUUUUUCUCUAUUUAUUUCAAGUAGCGGUUAUAUUCAAAGAUUUAUUCUUUUUAUUUUAAAAACGGAUACAUUCAAAUAUUACUUCUAUAGUCAUAUUUUCUCUUUUUAUUUCAAAUAAUGGUGGUAUUUAAAUAUUUUACUAACUCCCAGUCUGCAAACUUUUCAACCAAUUGCAUUUUCAAAUAGUUUUUUUGAUUCUUACUUCUUUUUAACCAAGUUGAGGAUAAAUGGGCUUCAGUUUUUUUCAUUUAAGUGAUGAUUUUCCUUCCUAUAAUUGCGUUCCACAUGAAUGUGGACAGCCUUUGUAUAACUGGUAUCCAUAGUUGCUCUGAUUUUCUGCAAAAGAUACGAACACUCAAAAGUUUAGAUAAUUUGGAAACCAAUGAUACUCUUUAGGAGGGCGAUUUUGUGAGUGGCAGAAGAUAGAACAUUGACAAUUUCUGCCAUUUGUGUGAAUGAUCUGAACACUGGAAGAUUAUAUGAAUGAUCUCAUUAUAUCUUGAAACCGGUAUUGAAAUUUUUUUUGUGGGUGGCAGAUUGUUCAGAAUCACUUUAAUGCAAACGUCACUGGGCUUGUUGAUUAAUUAUUCUUCGCUCUUAUUUUGUAUUUUGAUUAAGAUCUUUCUUCCUUUUCCUCUUGUAAUUUUCUUUUCCUUUUAAAGUCACAGUUUUUUUUUGGGUCAAAAGUCACAGUUGUUUGUUUAGAGUAUAACGGGGUAUUUGUUUAUGGUUGUCUAUGUAAUGUUGUCCUUACUUUUCUUAUUUGAAAUCUCCUAUGGUUCACUCUGGACUUUUCAUCAGGUCUUUCAUAAAAUGGUGAAUGCUAGAGUAGAACCAAAUCAUCAUACAUAUGAAGCUCUUAUUGAUGGUUCUGCAAGAGCUGGUCAGGUAGCUAAACUUUUGGUGUUUAUGGGAUUUUGAGGUCUAAGUAGAAUGUGAAGCCAGAUCGAGUUGUGUUCAAUGCACUUAUCACCGCUUGUGGCCAGUCUGGAGCAGUAGAACGCGCUUUUGACGUGUUGGCAGAAAUCAUAUCUGAACUACAGCCUAUCGACCAUGAUCACUUUACUAUUGGCUUCUGGGUAAUCACGUGAACCAAAUGGUUGAUGAGAUAUUCGUUCAUUGCUUAUGAUUGAGGUUUGGAGAAGCUUUGAUGUUUUAGGGAGGGUGUCUUCUGCUCAAUAUUGGGAUCACGUGUUUCAGUCAAGAGCAAACACCUCUAUGAAUGAUCAAAAGACCUUCAAAAAGAUCCAUUUGGAAAAACACCAACUUCUUGGUGGAGAUUGACACAACGACAAAACUUUAAAAGAGCGGUGUCUUGCAAUGGAGCCUUACGUCAGUUUCUCAAAAAAUAAUGUCCUGGAAGAGAACAAAGAGGAUGACAACGUGACAAUGCUACAAUGUAGUUUGGGUGUUGAGUACACCUUGUCGUUUGUGAGCCAUUUGCUAAGCUAGGUGAUGUACUUGUAAAGUAUCUUAUAUUUACACUUUAGUUCUAGAUGGCCCUUGGAUUUCUUGCCAACAGAGGAGUUCAAUUUGUUGUCGUUAGAAGAUAGGAUAAAAGGCUUAUUUACAGCAAAAACCUAUUAAAUAUUUUGUAAA